GCAGCUCCUGGUAAUUCUUGGAAGGUGGUGACAUCACUGAAAGAUCCUUCUUCCCAGGAUCCAUAUGUCCUCAUAGGAAGUCUUUCCAGAAAAUAAUUCAUGAAUUUUCCAUACUUGGUAUGGAAGAUCUUCACAGGAUAAGAAGAAGGGACAGAGAAGAGCCCCCAGUGACAGCUUGAGGAGACCACCAGCUGUGUAAAGUCUAUGCAAAGUGUUGAGACCACUAGCUCAAUCUCUGCAGCUCAUGCUGGAAAAAAUCAGAGAGAAACAUCUGAGGCACUUCAGGAGAGAGCAGUUGGAGAACACAUACACAGUCAUCAGUAUCUAUCCACAUCUCAUCUUCCUACACAAGGCCACUGUCACACCACUUGGGGAAAAAUUGGAAAUCAGACACACGAGUGUGGCUUUGUUUUCCUGGAGCUCCUCAGGGGAAGGUGGAAACAUGAAUAUCUAUUGGCACCUACUUCUACAAAAGACCAGCUGAAACAUCUAACCUGGUGGGACUGAGCAACUACUAGAUUCUUCGACUUCCCAUUCACAGUGACUUCUGGCUGUUUCCACUGACUUGGGCUGAUUGACAGAGACUCUUCUGUUUGUUCUGGAUGAACUGCCAUUGCUGAUUCAUAGAGAGAAUCUACAAGUGACUUGAGGUACUGCUGCUGAUCUGUGUGAACUGAACUGCAAAUAUUUUGACAAGAUUGGAAUUGCCCCAAAUAAAUGUUUCUAAAUAGG
rnacentral:lncRNA from 1 species